UACGAAGGGUGCAAGCGUUGCUCGGAAUUAUUGGGCGUAAAGGGUAGGUAGGUGGUAAUAAAAGUCUGGGGUGAAAUCCCUGAGCUCAACUCAGGACGUGCCUUGGAAACUUUAUUACUAGAGUGCUGGAGAGGUCCGCAGAAUUCCCGGUGUAGCGGUGAAAUGCGUAGAGAUCGGGAGGAAUACCAGAGGCGAAGGCGGCGGACUGGACAGUCACUGACACUCAACUACGAAAGCGUGGGUAGCAAAC
rnacentral:rRNA from 1 species